GUAGGGCGGGACACGUGGUAUCCUGUCUGAAUAUGGGGGGACCAUCCUCCAAGGCUAAAUACUCCUGACUGACCGAUAGUGAACCAGUACCGUGAGGGAAAGGCGAAAAGAACCCCGGCGAGGGGAGUGAAAAAGAACCUGAAACCGUGUACGUACAAGCAGUGGGAGCCUCUUUAUGGGGUGACUGCGUACCUUUUGUAUAAUGGGUCAGCGACUUAUAUUCUGUAGCAAGGUUAACCGAAUAGGGGAGCCGAAGGGAAACCGAGUCUUAACUGGGCGUUAAGUUGCAGGGUAUAGACCCGAAACCCGGUGAUCUAGCCAUGGGCAGGUUGAAGGUUGGGUAACACUAACUGGAGGACCGAACCGACUAAUGUUGAAAAAUUAGCGGAUGACUUGUGGCUGGGGGUGAAAGGCCAAUCAAACCGGGAGAUAGCUGGUUCUCCCCGAAAGCUAUUUAGGUAGCGCCUCGUGAAUUCAUCUCCGGGGGUAGAGCACUGUUUCGGCAAGGGGGUCAUCCCGACUUACCAACCCGAUGCAAACUGCGAAUACCGGAGAAUGUUAUCACGGGAGACACACGGCGGGUGCUAACGUCCGUCGUGAAGAGGGAAACAACCCAGACCGCCAGCUAAGGUCCCAAAGUCAUGGUUAAGUGGGAAACGAUGUGGGAAGGCCCAGACAGCCAGGAUGUUGGCUUAGAAGCAGCCAUCAUUUAAAGAAAGCGUAAUAGCUCACUGGUCGAGUCGGCCUGCGCGGAAGAUGUAACGGGGCUAAACCAUG
rnacentral:rRNA from 1 species